UAUAGACCUGCCACUUUGAAUCAGGUCUAGAGACGCAUUUGUCCCUCUGGUGCAGAAAUCAUGUCCGAAAUUGUACACCUGACGCUGAGCAGCACCUGGAAUGACUAUGCCUGCGUAUAGUGGACUCCUAACAAAUGUUUGUUCAAAGAAUGAAAGAAGACAGCAAGGUGGCCUGUGGACAGUGCCUUUGUGAGAAGGGAGAGUGGGCUGUGGAACUCGUCCUUGUCCUGUCUCUUUGGAGUGGUUACGAAGAGGACAGUGGCCAGAGAGAGAGGAAUAGACCGAUAGAAACAGCGAUGAGAGAGGAACAUCAUCAAUUGGCAGCCUCCUGCAUGCCCCUACUGGGGAUUGAGCCCGCAACCCCAGCACGUGCCCAGACCGGGAAUUGAACCUGCAGCCUCUUGGGUCCUGUGUUGAUGCUCAACCGCUGAGCCACACUAGCCGGGCCAAACAUUCUGAUUUGACAGAUGUUUACUGCACACCUUCUAUGUGCCAAGAACUUAUCCUUCCACCAAGUAGCCCGGCAGUUUAGAGGGGACGGUGGGCUUGUAAAGGGCAAUCGUGACACCGUGUCAUGGGCAGUGCUAGGAGCACGCAUGUGCAGUGCCCCAAGGUUUCCCUGGCGGGAACUGGGAACCAGGAGUAAAGC